CCGAGUACUACAACUCAUCUAACCCUUGUGAACUACCUUAUAACCUGUUGCUUCGGCGGGAACAGACGCCCUGUAACAAGGGUGCCCGCCGUCUCAGCAGACAUACUCUGUUUUCUAACCCGCUAUACUUCUGAGUGUUAACUUAAGCGAACUGUC
rnacentral:misc_RNA from 1 species